CCAGCUUUCCCCUGUGCUGAAGCCGGAACUCCAGGCUCCUGGCCUUCAGCCUCCCUGCCUCUAGGCCUCUGGAUGUGGGUCGAGGCACGCUGCAUGAACCCGGGCCAGCGUGGAGAUGGCCUGUCGUGGGCCCCUCCCAGCCCUGACGACCUGAGCCAGCACCCCAUGGGUUUUAUCAAGUCACUAAGUUGCCCAGGCUAACUCGAGCUUGUGAUCCUCCUGCCUGGGCUCCCCAGAGCGCUGGGAUUACAGACCUUCGCCACUCAGCAGUUUCUAAGAGGUCGGUGGCGUUGUGUGCGAGUGUGUAGGCGAGUGUGCAACACUGCCCCUCUGAACAGCACCGAGCAGCCUCCCACAGCCUGACAGGAUUCUUGAGCACGUUCUCGAUGGCCACGUUUUCUAUUCCUGUGCCCAGAAAAUGUCUGCUUCGUUCUUGGGCCUCUCUCUUGGAAUCGACGUCGCGGCUCCUGCCGGAUGAGCUGCGAGCGCCAGCUCCCUUCCUUAAAUAGUCGGUCCCCAGGCGGCGACAUCCCGGCCGGGGUGGGCGCAGAGUGGCACUGGGGCUCGCACUCCGCAGCCAGCAUCUCCAGGGCUGCAGAGGCAGCGGGGCCGGGCCGGCUCUGCACCGCUGCGCUGCGUUCCCGUCAUGCGGAAGUUUCCCGAGCACCUCUUCUCCGCCUGCUGGGCCCGGAAGGCGACCCAGAU
rnacentral:lncRNA from 1 species